GAUGAAGAACGUAGCGAAAUGCGAUAAGUAAUGUGAAUUGCAGAAUUCAGUGAAUCAUCGAAUCUUUGAACGCACAUUGCGCCCGCUAGUAUUCUGGCGGGCAUGCCUGUCCGAGCGUCAUUUCAACCCUCAAGCCACCGGGCUUGGUGUUGGGGAUCGGCGAGCCUCCGCGCCCGCCGUCCCCUAAAUCUAGUGGCGGUCUCGCUGUAGCUUCCUCUGCGUAGUAGCACACCUCGCACUGGGAAACAGCGCGGCCACGCCGUUAAACCCCCAACUUCUGAACGUUUGACCUCGGAUCAGGUAGGAAUACCCGCUGAACUUAAGCAUAUCAAUAAGCGGAGGA
rnacentral:misc_RNA from 1 species